rnacentral:rRNA from 1 species
UGAACGCUGGCGGCAGGCUUAACACAUGCAAGUCGAACGGUAACAGAACUAGCUUGCUAGUUGCUGACGAGUGGCGGACGGGUGAGUAACGCGUAGGAAUCUACCAAGUAGUGGGGGACAACAGUUGGAAACGACUGCUAAUACCGCAUAAUCCCUGAGGGGCAAAGGAGGGGAUCUGUUUACAGACCUUUCGCUAUUUGAUGAGCCUGCGUGAGAUUAGCUAGUUGGUGAGGUAAUGGCUCACCAAGGCGACGAUCUCUAGCUGGUCUGAGAGGAUGACCAGCCACACUGGAACUGAGACACGGUCCAGACUCCUGCGGGAGGCAGCAGUGGGGAAUAUUGCACAAUGGAGGAAACUCUGAUGCAGCCAUGCCGCGUGUGUGAAGAAGGCUUUCGGGUUGUAAAGCACUUUCAGUGGGGAGGAAAGGGUGUAUGUUAAUAGCAUGCAUCUGUGACGUUACCCACAGAAGAAGCACCGGCUAACUCCGUGCCAGCAGCCGCGGUAAUACGGAGGGUGCGAGCGUUAAUCGGAAUUACUGGGCGUAAAGCGCGCGUAGGUGGUUAAUUAAGUCAGAUGUGAAAGCCCAGGGCUCAACCUUGGAACUGCAUUUGAAACUGGUUAACUAGAGUUUUGUAGAGGGUGGUAGAAUUUCAGGUGUAGCGGUGAAAUGCGUAGAGAUCUGAAGGAAUACCAGUGGCGAAGGCGGCCACCUGGACAAAGACUGACACUGAGGCGCGAAGGCGUGGGGAGCAAACGGGAUUAGAUACCCCGGUAGUCCACGCAGUAAACGAUGUCUAUUAGAAGUUUGUGGCUAUAUGCCGUGGGUUUCAAAGCUAACGCAUUAAAUAGACCGCCUGGGGAGUACGGCCGCAAGGUUAAAACUCAAAUGAAUUGACGGGGGCCCGCACAAGCGGUGGAGCAUGUGGUUUAAUUCGAUGCAACGCGAAGAACCUUACCAUCCCUUGACAUCCAGAGAAUCACCUAGAGAUAGAUGAGUGCCUUCGGGAACUCUGAGACAGGUGCUGCAUGGCUGUCGUCAGCUCGUGUUGUGAAAUGUUGGGUUAAGUCCCGCAACGAGCGCAACCCUUAUCCUUACUUGCCAGCGGGUUAUGCCGGGAACUUUAGGGAGACUGCCGGUGAUAAACCGGAGGAAGGUGGGGACGACGUCAAGUCAUCAUGGCCCUUACGGGAUGGGCUACACACGUGCUACAAUGGCAGAUACAAAGGGUUGCUAACCUGCGAGGGUAUGCGAAUCUCAUAAAGUCUGUCGUAGUCCGGAUCGGAGUCUGCAACUCGACUCCGUGAAGUCGGAAUCGCUAGUAAUCGUGGAUCAGAAUGCCACGGUGAAUACGUUCCCGGGUCUUGUACUCACCGC